rnacentral:rRNA from 1 species
CUGGCUCAGGACGAACGCUGGCGGCGUGCUUAACACAUGCAAGUCGAACGAGGCUUUUCAAGAAGCUUGCUUCUUGAAAGACCGAGUGGCAAACGGGUGAGUAACGCGUAAACAACCUGCCCUCAGGAUGGGGACAACAGCUGGAAACGGCUGCUAAUACCGAAUACGAUCAAUCGGCCGCAUGGCCGGAUGAUG